rnacentral:snRNA from 1 species
ACACUUACCUGGCAGGGGAUAUACCGUAAUCACGAAGGUGGUUUUCCCAAGGCGAGCCUCAUCCGUUGCACUCUAGAUGUGCUGACCCCUGCAAUUUCUCCAAAUGUGGGAAAAUCAAAUGCAUUAAUUUGUGGCAGUGGGUGACUGAGUUUGCACUCUCCCCUG